CUCACACAGCCGCCCUGAGCGUCGCCCGGCACACAGCACUCUGACACGGAUGCCCACACGGCCGCCCUGAGCGUUGCCCGGCACACAGCACUCUGACACGGAUGCCCACACGGCCGCCCUGAGAGUCGCCCGGCACACAGCACUCUGACACGGAUGCCCGCACGGCUGCCCUGACUGUCGCCCGGCACACAGCACUCUGACACGGAUGCCCGCACGGCUGCCCUGAGAGUCGCCCGGCACACAGAACGCUGACACGGAUGCCCACACGGCCGCCCUGAGAGUCGCCCGGCACACAGCACUCUGACACGGAUGCCCAGACGGCCGCCCUGAGCGUCGCCCGGCACACAGCACUCUGACACAGAUGCCCGCACAGCCGCCCUGAGCAUCGCCCGGCACACAGCACUCUGACACGGAUGCCCGCACGGCUGCCCUGACUGUCGCCCGGCACACAGCACUCUGACAUGGAUGCCUGCACGGCCGCCCUGAGCGUCGCCCGGCACACAGCACUCUGACAUGGAUGCCCGCACGGCCGCCCUGAGCUCCGCCCGGCACACAGCACUCUGACACGGAUGCCCGCACGGUUGCCCUGAGCGUCGCCCGGCACACAGCACUCUGACACGGAUGCCCGCACAGCCGCCCUGAGCAUCGCCCGGCACACAGCACUCUGACACGGAUGCCCGCAGGGCCGCCCUGAGCGUCGCCCGGCACACAGCACUCUGACACGGAUGCCCGCACGGUUGCCCUGAGCGUCGCCCGGCACACAGCACUCUGACACGGAUGCCCGCACGGCUGCCCUGACUGUCGCCCGGCACACAGCACUCUGACACGGAUGCCUGCACGGUUGCCCUGAGCGUCGCCCGGCACACAGCACUCUGACAUGGAUGCCCGCACGGCCGCCCUGAGCAUCGCCUGGCACACAGAACGCUAACACGGAUGCCCAGACGGCCGCCCUGAGCGUCGCCCGGCACACAGCACUCUGACACAGAUGCCCGCACAGCCGCCCUGAGCGUCGCCCGGCACACAGCACUCUGACACGGAUGCCCGCAGGGCCGCCCUGAGCUUCGUCCGGCACACAGCACUCUGACACAGAUGCCCGCAGGGCCGCCCUGAGCUCCGCCCGGCACACAGCACUCUGACAUGGAUGCCCGCACGGCCGCCCUGAGCGUCGCCCGGCACACAGCACUCUGACACGGAUGCCCGCACGGCUGCCCUGACUGUCGCCCGGCACACAGCACUCUGACAUGGAUGCCCGCACGGCCGCCCUGAGCAUCGCCCGGCACACAGCACUCUGACAUGGAUGCCCGCAGGGCCGCCCUGAGCUCCGCCCGGCACACAGCACUCUGACAUGGAUGCCCGCACGGCCGCCCUGAGCAUCGCCCGGCACACAGCACUCUGACACGGAUGCCCGCAGGGCCGCCCUGAGCGUCGCCCGGCACACAGCACUCUGACACGGAUGCCCAGACGACCACCCUGAGCGUCACC
rnacentral:lncRNA from 1 species